CGUUUUAAAGCUCAGUCGGUAGAACAUGAGACCCUUAAUCUCAGGCCCUUAACAUGAGGCCCUUAAUCUCAGGGUUGUGGGUUUGAGCCCCAUGUUGGGUGA